ACGGGAGGCAGCAGUGGGGAAUAUUGGGCAAUGGGCGAAAGCCUGACCCAGCGACGCCGCGUGAGGGAAGACGGUCUUCGGAUUGUAAACCUUAGUCAACAGGGAAGAAACAAAUGACGGUACCUGUGGAGGAAGCCACGGCUAACUACGUGCCAGCAGCCGCGGUAAUACGUAGGUGGCAAGCGUUAUCCGGAAUUACUGGGUGUAAAGGGUGUGUAGGCGGGAAGGCAAGUCAGAUGUGAAAAUUAUGGGCUUAACUCAUAACCUGCAUUUGAAACUGUUUUUCUUGAGGGACGGAGAGGUAAACGGAAUUCCCAGUGUAGCGGUGAAAUGCGUAGAUAUUGGGAGGAACACCAGUGGCGAAGGCGGUUUACUGGACGUCAACUGACGCUGAGACACGAAAGCGUGGGGAGCAAACAGGAUUAGAUACCCUGGUA
rnacentral:rRNA from 1 species